rnacentral:rRNA from 1 species
GACGUAGGGGGAGAGCGUUGUCCGGAUUUAUUGGGCGUAAAGCGCGCGUAGGCGGCCCGUUAAGGCGGAUGCGAAAACCCGUGGCUCAACCACGGGCCUGCAUCCGAUACUGGCGGGCUCGAGGCAGGCAGGGGAGAUCGGAAUUCCUGGUGUAGCGGUGAAAUGCGCAGAUAUCAGGAGGAACACCGGUGGCGAAGGCGGAUCUCUGGGCCUGUCCUGACGCUCAGGCGCGAAAGCUAGGGGAGCAAACAGG